rnacentral:rRNA from 2 species
GGGUUGUGAGGUUAAGCGACUAAGCGUACACGGUGGAUGCCCUGGCAGUCAGAGGCGAUGAAGGACGUGCUAAUCUGCGAUAAGCGCCGGUAAGGUGAUAUGAACCGUUAUAACCGGCGAUUUCCGAAUGGGGAAACCCAGUGUGACUCGUCACACUAUCAUUAACUGAAUCCAUAGG